ACUACAAUGGCCGUAACAGAGAGAGACGAAACAGCGAUGUGGAGUAAAAACUCAAAAAAGCGGUCUCAGUUCGGAUUGAAGGCUGAAAUUCGCCUACAUGAAGUUGGAAUUGCUAGUAAUGGCAGGUCAGCAUACUGCCGUGAAUACGUUCCCGGGCCUUGUACACACCGCCCGUCAAGCCAUGGGAGCCGGGGGCGCCUGAAGUCCGGGACCGCGAGGACCGGCCUAGGGCGAAACUGGUGACUGGGGCUAAGUCGUAACAAGGUAAC
rnacentral:rRNA from 1 species